CCCAGCGCUCACGCGCUGGGCUAGCGUCUUGCGCGCCUACGGCGCU
rnacentral:sRNA from 1 species